UGAACAUCCCAAAGAGUAGAAUCGCCUUCCACAUGAAAAGAGCCGGAGGAGCGUUUGGAGGGAAAGUGACCAAGCUGGCUCUGCUAGGAGCUGUCAGUGAUGUGGCCGCCAACAAAUUUGAUUCAUGAACAAUGAUGUAAUGAAAGCUGCUGAUGUCAAAUAUUACGUCAAUGGUGGGUACACUCCUGAUGAGUCUGAGAGGGUUAGAGAAAUAAACAUGUAUAAGAGAAUUAGCAUAACAGCCUUUAAGCAGACAUUUAAUCCAAUGCCCUUGCAAAGACGCUGGAAAGAAUGCCUGGAGAAACCUUCGUUCUAUGCUAGGAGACUGGCUGCAGAGGAAUUUAACAAAAAGAAUUACUGGAAGAAGAAGGGGCUUGCCAUAGACCCUGUGAAAUAUUCCAUUGGGAUUCCUAUAGCUCACAAA